UGGGGAAUAUUGGACAAUGGGCGCAAGCCUGAUCCAGCCAUGCCGCGUGAGUGACGAAGGCCUUAGGGUUGUAAAGCUCUUUUGGCGGGGAAGAUAAUGACGGUACCCGCAGAAUAAGCUCCGGCUAACUUCGUGCCAGCAGCCGCGGUAAUACGACGGGAGCUAGCGUUGUUCGGAAUCACUGGGCGUAAAGCGCACGUAGGCGGACUUUCAAGUCAGGGGUGAAAUCCCGGGGCUCAACCUCGGAACUGCCUUUGAUACUGUUGGUCUCGAGUCCGGAAGAGGUGAGUGGAAUUCCUAGUGUAGAGGUGAAAUUCGUAGAUAUUAGGAAGAACACCGGUGGCGAAGGCGGCUCACUGGUCCGGUACUGACGCUGAGGUGCGAAAGCGUGGGGAGCAAACA
rnacentral:rRNA from 1 species